rnacentral:rRNA from 1 species
AGCUAAUACUUGCUUUAGCACUCUUGAUUAAGUUCUUGAGUGUGUACUUGUUAAGCCUUUUAAGAAAAAAGUUAUUAACUUAAGGAAUUAUAACAAAGAAGUAACACGUAAUGGAUCCGUCCAUUUUUAGUGUGUAUCAAUCGAGCUUCUGACCUAUCAGCUUUUGAUGUUAGGGUAUUGGCCUAGCAUGGCUAUGACGGGUAACGGGGAAUUAGAGUUCGAUUCCGGAGAGGGAGCCUGAGAAAUAGCUACCACAUCUAAGGAAGGCAGCAGGCGCGUAAAUUACCCAAUUCUAAAGAAGAGAGGUAGUGACAAGAAAUAACAAUACAAGGCCAAUCUGGCUUUGUAAUUGGAAUGAUGGGAAUUUAAAACCUUCCCAAAACUCAGUUGGAGGGCAAGUCUGGUGCCAGCAGCCGCGGUAAUUCCAGCUCCAAUAGCGUAUAUUAAAAUUGUUGCAGUUAAAACGCUCGUAGUUGAAUUUCAAAGAAUCGAUAUUUUAAGUAACGCUUUUAGCUUAAUCCACAUAACUGAUACUACGUAUCGACUUUGUGCGCAUUUUGCUAUUAUGUGUUCUUUUAAUUAAAAUGAUUCUUUUUAAGGUCUUUCUUUUGCUCCGGCAUUUGAAGAUCUUGUUACUUUGAGUAAAUUAGAGUGUUCAAAGCAAACAGAUAUAGCAUUGCGCGUUUGAAUACUACAGCAUGGAAUAACAAAAUUGAACAAGUCAGAAUUUUGUUCUUUUUUCUUAUUUUGGCUUAGUUACGAUUAAUAGGAGUAGCUUGGGGGCAUUUGUAUUCAAAUGUCAGAGGUGAAAUUCUUAGAUUUUCUGGAGACAAACAACUGCGAAAGCAUUUGCCUAAAAUACUUCCAUUAAUCAAGAACGAAAGUUAAGGGAGUGAAGACGAUCAGAUACCGUCGUAAUCUUAACCAUAAACUAUGCCGACUAGGCUUUGGAUGAAAGAUUUUAAAAUAAGA